CUCCGGGAGGAGUCCCAAAUAGGACGAAACACGCGUCCUGGAU
rnacentral:hammerhead_ribozyme from 1 species